rnacentral:rRNA from 1 species
GAUGAACGCUAGCGGGAGGCUUAACACAUGCAAGUCGAGGGGUAGGGGAGCAAUCCCCGAGACCGGCGGACGGGUGCGUAACGCGUAUGCAACUUGCCUUAUACAGGGGGAUAGCCCGUGGAAACGCGGAUUAAUACCCCAUAUGUCAUUUGGGUCGCAUGGUCUGGAUGAUAAAACUGAGGUGGUAUAAGAUGGGCAUGCGUCUGAUUAGCUGGUUGGUAAGGUAACGGCUUACCAAGGCGACGAUCAGUAGGGGUUCUGAGAGGAUAAUCCCCCACACUGGUACUGAGACACGGACCAGACUCCUACGGGAGGCAGCAGUGAGGAAUAUUGGUCAAUGGGCGCGAGCCUGAACCAGCCAUUCCGCGUGAAGGAAGAAGGCCUUAUGGGUUGUAAACUUCUUUUCUGUAAGAGGAAAAGUCCCGACGUGUCGGGAUGUGACGGUAUUAUAGGAAUAAGCAUCGGCUAACUCCGUG